ACUGCAGAUAUUCAGAUUGCUAGAAUUUUUAACUUCACUCCUCAACCGACGCAGGAUUAAUAACUUUUGUCUUCGCAAGUGAUCUAUCUCUUAUAAAUUAUUAAUUAUUUAUAGUAAUCUUUCAUUACUCCUUCAGAAAUGUAUGCGAAAUGGUAAAAUACUGUUCAGUUAUUCAGGGUUUUCAGAUAUAAUUAGGACGAAAUGAAACAAAUCAAAAUGGCGGGUGGAUAUCAACAAUCGUUUAGGGGCUGGGGUCCACUAGGAGAUUGAUAGUACCUAUUAGCUCUCUCCGGACAGUACCAGCCUAGAUGCGGAAAAAAAAUGAACCAAGAAUAGAUCCACUGGGUUGCUGCUUCCAUGUCGUAAAAGGCGACAAUUGCAGGAGUUUCUUUUUCCUUUCAGAUAUUUUCAAUGUUUCACUUCUGAUUACUCUAUUUUACUAAAUUAUCUCUUCAUUCAACCUAUCAAUUUCCGUCAAGCUUCGGAGAAAAGUUUUAUUUAGAAUGUUUUCUUUUUCCAUGUUAUUGAUUGUCUUUCAGGAUUAUAAAUUGAAUUAUAAAAAUCAACUAUUGCACAAAUCCGUUGAUUUUUCAUAGUUAAUAACAGAGAUAACAUAUAUCGGUAUAUUGUAUACAUAGUAAAAACACUUGAAAUUAAUAUUUCAAACAAUAAAUUAAUAUUUUUCUCGGUAGCCGGCUGCCCAGAUCAACCAAUAUAACCAUUUGAUGAUUUUAAUAAAUAAUUAAAUAAUAAAGCGGAAAUAAUACAGAAUCAAGACGCGCGUGAAAUCUGUUGACCUUUAUUCGAUGAUUUAAAUUGAUUUCAUAACAACUGUUUAGAAUAUGUCAAUGCAAUGAAUCAACUAUUUUGUCUAAAUCCUAUUCACUCGUUUAUUUUGUAUCACGUAAUUUCAGUCAUAAAAAAUAGGGAAGUUUUUAUUCCUUACGCGAUAGUGUUGCAAAUUUUUCUUCAGUUUCCUCGAAUAAGAACUGUGAAUCAAAACUUCCCUGGACUUCAAUAUAUGAUAUUGUUGAAACGUUCACUCGGGAAAUCAGAGAGUUUAGUGGUGCAUCCGAGCAUCUUGAAACCGGAACAUACUGAGUCGCGCGCGAAUAAUACCAAUACUGAAAUUUUUACUAACAAAUAUCCUUCUCCCGUGACACUUGCGGAGUGCGCAGUAGUAUAUACGGCCUCUAGUAACAACAAGUGUUGGACUAAGAUCCCUUCCCAUUCCUACGAUCUACGUUCGGGCCUGGGUAGAAGAAUAUUUUUUAUAGCUAUUUAUUGGAAUUUAAUUAUUAAGAUUUAAAUUGGCUGUUCAGCCACAAGUGGUGCUUUUCAGCCCUAUUAUAUACAUGAUUUGGUUAUUGCCAUGAAGACAUCAUUUGCUUCCGCUAUUAUGUGAUUUUUGUGUAGGUAAAAUUGUAAACCUACUUGUAUUGUGUAAUGGGGGAAAGGAACUUAUAUACUAACUUACUAACUAAUGCAGAGAGCGAAUCGAUUCAAUUGAAGAUUGCAUCGAUUUUCGUCGGAAUUUGCUUAUAAUAUUAUGUGACAUUACAUCUAAUGGUUCUAUAUUUGUGAGUCUGUGUAACUCAUUUGUACUAAACCAGGGAGGACGCUUAAAAAUCAUUUUCAGAAUUUUAUUAUUUUUACACAAAUCGCCUUUUUUGAAAUUCUAUGUUUUAUUUGCAUUUGGACAAAAAUGGCAACUCCACCACCCAUCUCAGUAAACCUGUCAAAUCUAUGAACCACAUAAUGUGGAUUGCUUUUCAAUUUGACAUGUGGUUUAAGAAAUCUUUCUGUCUUUGGGAAAAUUAUAAAAUUCAUCUUCUCUCGAUUUUAAAGAUCGAGCAUUCCAAUUUAAAAUAUUCGAAUAAUUAUUUAACAUCA